rnacentral:rRNA from 1 species
GACGAACGCUGGCGGCGUGCUUAACACAUGCAAGUCGAACGGAAAGGCCCUGCUUUUGUGGGGUGCUCGAGUGGCGAACGGGUGCGUAACACGUGAGUAACCUGCCCUUGACUUUGGGAUAACUUCAGGAAACUGGGGCUAAUAUCGGAUAGGAGCUCCUGCUGCAUGGUGGGGGUUGGAAAGUUUCGGCGGUUGGGGAUGGACUCGCGGCUUAUCAGCUUGUUGGUGGGGUAGUGGCUUACCAAGGCUUUGACGGGUCGCCGGCCUGAGAGGGUGACCGGCCACAUUGGUACUGAGAGACGGCCCAGACUCCUACGUGAGGCAGCAGUGGGGAAUAUUGCACAAUGGGCGGAAGCCUGAUGCAGCAACGCCGCGUGCGGGAUGACGGCCUUCGGGUUGUAAACCGCUUUCGCCUGUGACGAAGCGUGAGUGACGGUAAUGGGUAAAGAAGCACCGGCUAACUACGUG